rnacentral:rRNA from 1 species
GACGAACGCUGGCGGCGUGCCUAAUACAUGCAAGUAGAACGCAGUUGCGAACGGGUGAGUAACGCGUAGGUAACUGCCUCAUAGCGGGGGAUAACUAUUGGAAACGAUAGCUAAUACCGCAUACUGUGUGAUGGACCUGCGUUGUAUUAGUUAGUUGGGGAGGUAAAGGCGCAACAAGGCGACGGUACAUAGCCGACCUGAGAAGGUGGUCGGCCACACUGGGAAUGGUGCAAGGCCCAGACUCCUAAGGGAGGCAGCAGUAGGGAAUCUUCGGGAAUGGGCGGAAGGCUGAACGAGCAACGGCGGCGGAGUGAAGGAGGUUUUCGGAUCGGAAAGCUUUGUUGAUAGAGAAGCGGUACCUAACCAGAAAGCGACGGCUAACUACGUGCCAGCAGCCGCGGUAAUAC